GACGAACGCUGGCGGCGUGCUUAACACAUGCAAGUCGAACGAAGAGCCCGGGGCUUGGUGCGGGGGACGAGUGGCGAACGGGUGAGUAACACGUGAGUAACCUGCCCUUGACUCUGGGAUAAGCGUUGGAAACGACGGCUAAUACCGGAUAGGAUCUUGGAUCGCAUGAUGUGGGGUGGAAAGUUUCUGCGGUCUGGGAUGGACUCGCGGCCUAUCAGCUUGUUGGUGAGGUAAUGACUCGCCAAGGCGUCGACGGGUAGCCGGCCUGAGAGGGUGACCGGCCACGCUGGAACUGACUAAGGGACGAGGCAGCUGCGGAAGGCAGCCAUGGGGAGUAUGGCUCACUGAGCGACAGCGUGAUGGAGCAAAAGGGCGUGCGGGAGGAAAGCCUUCGUGUUGGGAAAGAAUAUUAGUAGGGAAAAAGGGCUUCGGCUUGACGGUACCUGCAGAAAAAGCACCGGCUAACUACGUG
rnacentral:rRNA from 1 species